rnacentral:rRNA from 1 species
UACGAAGGGGGCUAGCGUUGCUCGGAAUCACUGGGCGUAAAGGGUGCGUAGGCGGGUUUUUAAGUCAGGGGUGAAAUCCUGGAGCUCAACUCCAGAACUGCCUUUGAUACUGAAGAUCUUGAGUCCGGGAGAGGUGAGUGGAACUGCGAGUGUAGAGGUGAAAUUCGUAGAUAUUCGCAAGAACACCAGUGGCGAAGGCGGUUCUCUGGGCCUGUACUGACGCUGAGGAACGAAAGCGUGGGGAGCGAACAGG